rnacentral:tRNA from 1 species
UCGGGUGUAGCCAAGCGGUAAGGCGCCGCGCUGUUAACGCGGAGAUCGGGGGUUCGAGUCCCUCCGCCCGAG